rnacentral:rRNA from 1 species
GAGGAAUAUUGGUCAAUGGACGGAAGUCUGAACCAGCCAAGUAGCGUGCAGGAAGACGGCCCUAUGGGUUGUAAACUGCUUUUGUAUGGGGAUAAAGUCAAUCACGUGUGAUUGUUUGCAGGUACCAUACGAAUAAGGACCGGCUAAUUCCGUGCCAGCAGCCGCGGUAAUACGGAAGGUCCAGGCGUUAUCCGGAUUUAUUGGGUUUAAAGGGAGUGUAGGCGGUUUGUUAAGCGUGUUGUGAAAUUUAGAUGCUCAACAUUUAACUUGCAGCGCGAACUGGCGAACUUGAGUGCACACAACGUAUGCGGAAUUCAUGGUGUAGCGGUGAAAUGCUUAGAUAUCAUGAAGAACUCCGAUUGCGAAGGCAGCAUACGGGAGUGUAACUGACGCUUAAGCUCGAAGGUGCGGGUAUCGAACAGGAUUAGAUACCCUGGUAGUCCGCACAGUAAACGAUGGAUGCCCGCUGUUAGCGCCUGGCGUUAGCGGCUAAGCGAAAGCAUUAAGCAUCCCACCUGGGGAGUACGCCGGCAACGGUG